rnacentral:tRNA from 1 species
GGGUCAGUGGCGGAAUGGUAUACGCGCGACACUUAAAAUGUUGUGCCCGAAAGGCGUGUGGGUUCGAGUCCCACCUGACCCA